AGUGAACGCUGGCGGUAGGCCUAACACAUGCAAGUCGAACGGCAGCACAGUAAGAGCUUGCUCUUACGGGUGGCGAGUGGCGGACGGGUGAGGAAUACAUCGGAAUCUACUUUUUCGUGGGGGAUAACGUAGGGAAACUUACGCUAAUACUGCAUACGACCUACGGGUGAAAGCAGGGGAUCUUCGGACCUUGCGCGAUUGAAUGAGCCGAUGUCGGAUUAGCUAGUUGGCGGGGUAAAGGCCCACCAAGGCGACGAUCCGUAGCUGGUCUGAGAGGAUGAUCAGCCACACUGGAACUGAGACACGGUCCAGACUCCUACGGGAGGCAGCAGUGGGGAAUAUUGGACAAUGGGCGCAAGCCUGAUCCAGCCAUACCGCGUGGGUGAAGAAGGCCUUCGGGUUGUAAAGCCCUUUUGUUGGGAAAGAAAAGCAGCAGGUUAAUACCCCGCUGUUCUGACGGUACCCAAAGAAUAAGCAUCGGCUAACUUCGUG
rnacentral:rRNA from 1 species